rnacentral:rRNA from 1 species
GACAGAGGGUGCAAACGUUGCUCGGAAUCACUGGGCGUAAAGGGCGUGUAGGCGGGAAGGAUAGUCAGAUGUGAAAGCCCUGGGCUCAACCCAGGAACUGCAUUUGAAACUCCCUUUCUUGAGUGUCGGAGAGGAAAGCGGAAUUCCUGGUGUAGAGGUGAAAUUCGUAGAUAUCAGGAGGAACACCGGUGGCGAAGGCGGCUUCUGGACGACAACUGACGCUGAGACGCGAAAGCGUGGGGAGCAAACAGG